CCGCGCUGUCCAUGGAAGCUAAAUUGAUGAAUCUAUAUGUUUUAGUUUCCAUUUCCUAAACAUAACUAAGAAGCUUAUCCAGGGAAAUCAUUUUAGCUUUUUGCUGCUCCUUAUGUGCUUUAGAUUCAGCAAGACAAUUCAAACUUUGCAAGUUUUGGAAGACUAAUACCUAACUUUUUGGUAACUCGAAUGAAACAUGCACAUACAGAUCACCCUGAUUACACGAUUAAUGGAGAGGAGGUACAUGGGGUGGGGUCCUAGAACAUACUGUAAUGUAUCAGGAGAUGGCGGCGAGCUAGGUACUGGAGCGGCGGGGACUAAAGCUCUAGCGGCAUGAAGAUGUUUACUUGGUCAGGCUUUCUCUUCCCAGAACUGUAGAAGUCAAUCAGACACUCCCUAAAGAAACAUCAAAAUCCAACAAGUAAUGGGAGAAAGCAUGUCAGUAGUACAUAACUCCAUUAAACUACAUCCCGUUAUUACUAUAUAUUUAUAAAAAAAUUGUCGGAUCUCAUCCAAGCUGAGCUUCUCAGGUCAGUCACCAUGAUUUCCAUCUAAUUUGAGUAUUUAUUUCGUCAAAAGGUACUAAUUAUAAGGUACAAACUAAAGAAAUCAGCAAACUUUCAUGUAAAGUCUGGAAUUACUCACUGAAUCUAAAUGCUCUACCAAUGUUUUGAGGAGAAAGUCAUCACACCAAGUUACCAAACUUGAUGCAAUUAAUUAUAGUUUGUACCUUAUAAUUGUUCAUUGCAAUGGGAUGGAUGCAUGAUUGUCCACUAUUAGUUUGAUUUUGGUAGCUCACUAGAGUUAUGUUCAUGGACUGUUGGAAGUAAUAUUAAUUAGGAUUUUGUAUUGUAUUAUCUCUGCCCACUAACUUUUUUGUUUAGUGUAUUAUAUAAUUCAUUUCUUUUACAGGUGCAAUGAAUCAUGGCGACUGGCCAACUUUUCUCUAAAACUACCCAAGCAUUAUUCUACAAUUACAAGCAACUUCCCAUCCAACAGAUGCUUGAUUUAGACUUCCUUUGUGGGAGAGAAACACCUCCUGUGCUUGAAUAACAAUCCUGGUUCUUAUGAUUUUUAGAAACUUUUCUUUGGACAAGUGAAAUUGCUAUUCCAGUUCAUCCCACUAUUAAAGUUGUCUAUAGUGCACACCCAACAGCUGAUGUAUUUAUCAACUUUGCAUCCUUCCGAAGUGUUGCUAUGUCUUCAAUGUCAGCUUUGAUGUGGCCAACAAUAAGGGUUGUGGCCAUUAUCGUUAGUGUGUUUCUGAAUCAGAUGUCGAGUAGCUAAUUUGUUAUGUGUCUGCUAAUAACAAGGUAAGGACUACUUAACCAACUGUUUUAAGAAAAAAAUAGAUGGUUCAUUUACAAGUUGUCAUCCGAACAAUACAUUUCCAUAUAUAGGAUUAUAUCCAUGUAUACAAGUUUAUAAAAAACUUUUGGUUCAUCGAAGACAAUGUUAUUGGCACACUCCAUGUCAUCUGCAUAUUGUCCCUUAUUUUUAGUAAAUAGUUUAAAUAC